rnacentral:rRNA from 1 species
GAAUCUUCGGCAAUGGACGAAAGUCUGACCGAGCAACGCCGCGUGAGUGAAGAAGGCCUUCGGGUCGUAAAACUCUGUUGCCAGAGAAGAAAGGCGUCUAGUUAACUGCUAGGCGAUUGACGGUAUCUGAGAAGAAAGCCCCGGCUAACUCCGUGCCAGCAGCCGCGGUAAUACGUAGGGGGCAAGCGUUGUCCGGAAUUAUUGGGCGUAAAGCGCGCGCAGGCGGUUUUUUAAGUCUGGUGUAUAACCUUGUGGCUCAACCAUAAGUGGCACCGGAAACUGGGAGACUUUGAGUGCAGGAGAGGAAAGUGGAAUUCCACGUGUAGCGGUGAAAUGCGUAGAGAUGUGGAGGAACACCAGUGGCGAAGGCGACUUUCUGGCCUGUAACUGACGCUGAGGCGCGAAAGCGUGGGGAGCAAACAGG